rnacentral:rRNA from 1 species
CAGUCGCCGCGGUAAUACGUAGGGUGCAAGCGUUAUCCGGAAUUAUUGGGCGUAAAGAGCUCGUAGGCGGUUUGUCGCGUCUGCUGUGAAAACUGGAGGCUCAACCUCCAGCCUGCAGUGGGUACGGGCAGACUAGAGUGCGGUAGGGGAGAUUGGAAUUCCUGGUGUAGCGGUGGAAUGCGCAGAUAUCAGGAGGAACACCGAUGGCGAAGGCAGAUCUCUGGGCCGUAACUGACGCUGAGGAGCGAAAGCGUGGGGAGCGAACAGGAUUAGAUACCCGUGUAGUCCCUGUCUCUUAUAC